rnacentral:tRNA from 1 species
ACUAUUUUGGCAGAUAAGUGUGUUGAAUUUAGAAUUCAUUAAUAUAAGUUUAUAACUUGUAAGUAGUA